AUGUUCAAUUGUCCUUACACUAUUAAAGUUUGGAACAUGGUCUUCGACUGGUUAGGAGUACAAUCGGCGACUCCAGGCUGGAGUAAUCUCCAGACUAUCAAGCAAUGGUGGACCUUAAAUGAUGGAAUGCAAAAAAAAUCCGGGAAGGCCAACAACUCUCUGUUGAUGCUCAUAUGCUGGGAAAUUUAGAACGAAAGGAAUGAUAGGGUCUUUCGCUUCAAAGCAUCACUUUCUUCUAGAGUGGUCGCGACGAUUAAGGAUGAGACAAAGACUUGGGUUAUCGCCAGGGUUAGAUUGCUAGAAAACUUAAUUCCAAGAGAGUGA
rnacentral:rRNA from 1 species